rnacentral:rRNA from 1 species
GAUGAACGCUGGCGGCGUGCCUAAUACAUGCAAGUCGAGCGAACAGACGAGGAGCUUGCUCCUCUGACGUUAGCGGCGGACGGGUGAGUAACACGUGGAUAACCUACCUAUAAGACUGGGAUAACUUCGGGAAACCGGAGCUAAUACCGGAUAAUAUAUUGAACCGCAUGGUUCAAUAGUGAAAGACGGUUUUGCUGUCACUUAUAGAUGGAUCCGCGCCGCAUUAGCUAGUUGGUAAGGUAACGGCUUACCAAGGCAACGAUGCGUAGCCGACCUGAGAGGGUGAUCGGCCACACUGGAACUGACACGCGGUCCAGACUCCUGCGGGAGGCAGCAGUAGGGAAUCUUCCGCAAUGGGCGAAAGCUUGACGGAGCAACGCCGCGUGAGUGAUGAAGGUCUUCGGAUCGUAAAACUCUGUUAUUAGGGAAGAACAAAUGUGUAAGUAACUAUGCACGUCUUGACGGUACCUAAUCAGAAAGCCACGGCUAACUACGUG